rnacentral:rRNA from 1 species
UACAGAGGUCUCAAGCGUUGUUCGGAUUUAUUGGGCGUAAAGGGCGCGUAGGCGGCCAUGCGUGUCUUCCGUGAAAUCCCUCGGCUUAACUGAGGACGUGCGGAAGAAACUGCAAGGCUCGAGUCCGGGAGAGGGGGGUGGAAUUCCCAGUGUAGCGGUGAAAUGCGUAGAUAUUGGGAGGAACACCGGUGGCGAAGGCGGCGACCUGGUCCGAUACUGACGCUGAGGCGCGAAAGCGUGGGGAGCAAACAGG